UACAGAGGUCUCAAGCGUUGUUCGGAUUCAUUGGGCGUAAAGGGUGCGUAGGCGGCGCGGUAAGUCGGGUGUGAAAUCUCGGAGCUUAACUCCGAAACUGCAUUCGAUACUGCCGUGCUCGAGGACUGGAGAGGAGACUGGAAUUUACGGUGUAGCGGUGAAAUGCGUAGAUAUCUGGAGGAACACCGGUGGCGAAGGCGGCAUCCUGGACCAACACUGACACUGAUGAGCGAAAGCCAGGGGAGCAAACGGG
rnacentral:rRNA from 1 species